rnacentral:rRNA from 1 species
GAGGCAGCAGUAGGGAUCUUCCACAAUGGACGCAAGUCUGAUGGAGCAACGCCGCGUGAGUGAAGAAGGGUUUCGGCUCGUAAAGCUCUGUGUUAAAGAAGAACGUGGGUAAGAGUAACUGUUUACCCAGUGACGGUAUUUAACCAGAAAGCCACGGCUAACUACGUGCCAGCAGCCGCGGUAAUACGUAGGUGGCAAGCGUUAUCCGGAUUUAUUGGGCGUAAAGCGAGCGCAGGCGGUCUUUUAAGUCUAAUGUGAAAGCCUUCGGCUCAACCGAAGAAGUGCAUUGGAAACUGGGAGACUUGAGUGCAGAAGAGGACAGUGGAACUCCAUGUGUAGCGGUGAAAUGCGUAGAUAUAUGGAAGAACACCAGUGGCGAAGGCGGCUGUCUGGUCUGCAACUGACGCUGAGGCUCGAAAGCAUGGGUAGCGAACAGGAUUAGAUACCCUGGUAGUCCAUGCCGUAAACGAUGAUUACUAAGUGUUGGAGGGUUUCCGCCCUUCAGUGCUGCAGCUAACGCAUUAAGUAAUCCGCCUGGGGAGUACGACCGCAAGGUUGAAACUCAAAAGAAUUGACGGGGGCCCGCACAAGCGGUGGAGCAUGUGGUUUAAUUCGAAGCUACGCGAAGAACCUUACCAGGUCUUGACAUCUUCUGACAGUCUAAGAGAUUAGAGGUUCCCUUCGGGGACAGAAUGACAGGUGGUGCAUGGUUGUCGUCAGCUCGUGUCGUGAGAUGUUGGGUUAAGUCCCGCAACGAGCGCAACCCUUAUUACUAGUUGCCAGCAUUAAGUUGGGCACUCUAGUGAGACUGCCGGUGACAAACCGGAGGAAGGUGGGGACGACGUCAAAUCAUCAUGCCCCUUAUGACCUGGGCUACACACGUGCUACAAUGGAUGGUACAACGAGUCGCGAGACCGCGAGGUUAAGCUAAUCUCUUAAAACCAUUCUCAGUUCGGACUGUAGGCUGCAACUCGCCUACACGAAGUCGGAAUCGCUAGUAAUCGCGGAUCAGCAUGCCGCGGUGAAUACGUUCCCGGGCCUUGUACACACCGCCCGUCACACCAUGAGAGUUUGUAACACCCAAAGCCGGUGGGCGUAACCUUCUAUUAAGAUCUACGC